CAGAAACUCAAAGGAAUUGACGGGACCCGCACAAGCGUGGAGCAUGUGGUUUAAUUCGACGAUACGCGAAGAACCUUACCUGGCCUUGACAUACUAAAAAGCUUUAAGAGAUUAGAGCGUGCUAGCUUGCUAGAAUUUAGAUACAGGUGCUGCACGGCUGUCGUCAGCUCGUGUCGUGAAAUGUUGGGUUAAGUCCCGCAACGAGCGCAACCCUCGUGUUUAGUUGCUAACAGUUCGGCUGAGAACUCUAAACAGACUGCCUACGCAAGUAGGAGGAAGGUGAGGACGACGUCAAGUCAUCAUGGCCCUUACGGCCAGGGCUACACACGUGCUACAAUGGGGUAUACAAAGAGCAGCGAUACGGUGACGUGGAGCAAAUCUAGAAAAUGCCUCUCAGUUCGGAUUGUAGUCUGCAACUCGACUACAUGAAGUUGGAAUCGCUAGUAAUCGUAGAUCAGCAAUGCUACGGUGAAUACGUUCCCGGGUCUU
rnacentral:rRNA from 1 species